rnacentral:lncRNA from 1 species
AGCUCUGAAGUCUGUCAGCCUCUUCAGAUGUCACUUGCCCUGUGGUAAGGAAGUGUAGUUGGCAGCUGGUGCAGUGGCAAGAAGAGAAAGGAAGUUCCCCAAGACAGAAACAUCUCGGCAGGUUUGGAAUAGUUCACCAGUGAAGUCAUCUCAACCAGCACAGGGCCUUGACUCCUAACAACAAUCACACGAACUUGGAAGAGGAUCCUUCCCCAGCUGAAACUUCACUUGAGACCUUCUCAUUGGCCAUCAUCGACAUCUGGAUUCAUGAUACAGAGAAACUGCUUUGAAUAACUCACCAGUGAAGUCAUCUUGACCUGGACAGAAAUUGAAUCCUCCCAAGAAUCCCAGGAGCUUGGAAGGGGAUCCUUCCCCAGAUGAGCCUUCCCUUGAAAUCUCUGCCAGGCAUCUGACCCAGAGAAACUACUCCAUCAGGAAUCGUUUGGGACCGUGGGUUCUGUUGACACUCACAUUGUGUAAUUAUGUUGCCCACUGCCAACCCUAAAGCCACCAAGGUAGCAGGUUUCAAAUAAUUCAUCAGUGAAUUCUCCUCAACCUGGUCAAUCAUGUGAACUUAGAAGAUGAUUCCUCCCCAGCUGAUCCUCAGGUGAGACCUCAGCCUUGGCCAUCAUCUAUAUCUGGAUUCCUGACCCAGAGAAACUGAAUACACUUUACUGAAUCAUGAAAAGCUGUAAAUAGCUGAAAAGAAAAAUGUGGUCUUGACUCUGAAAAACAACAAAAAGGAUCAGCAACAUUUCAAGCAACAAGUCAUAAAACGAUUACUGUGGUCUUGUAUUAGUUCAGUCCAUGCAGUGAACUUUGUCUGACAUUGGGCCUGCAGUCCUCAUAAACAUACCAGCUA